UACGAAGGGAGCUAGCGUUGUUCGGAAUUACUGGGCGUAAAGGGCGCGUAGGCGGCAGGCCAAGUCGGGAGUGAAAGCCCGGGGCUCAACCCCGGAAUGUCUUUCGAAACUGGCCAGCUGGAGUGCGGAAGAGGCAACUGGAAUUCCCAGUGUAGCGGUGAAAUGCGUAGAUAUUGGGAAGAACACCUGAGGCGAAGGCGGGUUGCUGGGCCGACACUGACGCUGAGGUGCGAAAGCGUGGGGAGCAAACAGG
rnacentral:rRNA from 1 species